UACGAAGGGGACUAGCGUUGUUCGGAUUUACUGGGCGUAAAGCGCGCGUAGGCGGAUCGCUAAGUCAGGGGUGAAAUCCCAGGGCUCAACCCUGGAACUGCCUUUGAUACUGACGAUCUGGAGAUCGGGAGAGGUUGGUGGAAUUCCGAGUGUAGAGGUGAAAUUCGUAGAUAUUCGGAGGAACACCAGAAGCGAAGGCGGCCAACUGGCCCGAUACUGACGCUGAGGCGCGAAAGCGUGGGAGCAAACAGG
rnacentral:rRNA from 1 species